rnacentral:rRNA from 1 species
GACGAACGCUGGCGGCGUGCUUAACACAUGCAAGUCGAACGGAAAGGCCCUGCUUUUGUGGGGUGCUCGAGUGGCGAACGGGUGAGUAACACGCGAGUAACCUGCCCUUGACUUUGGGAUAACUUCAGGAAACUGGGGCUAAUACCGGAUAGGAGCUCCUGCUGCAUGGUGGGGGUUGGAAAGUUUCGGCGGUUGGGGAUGGACUCGCGGCUUAGCAGCUUGUUGGUGGGGUAGUGGCUUACCAAGGCUUUGACGGGUAGCCGGCGUGCGAGGGUGACCGGCCACAUUGGGACUGAGAUACGGCCCAGACUCCUACGGGAGGCAGCAGUGGGGAAUAUUGCGCACUGGGCGGAAGCCUGAUGCAGCAACGCCGCGUGCGGGAUGACGGCCUUCGGGUUGUAAACCGCUUUCGCCUGUGACGAAGCGUGAGUGACGGUAAUGGGUAAAGAAGCACCGGCUAACUACGUG